rnacentral:rRNA from 1 species
UACGAAGGGGGCUAGCGUUGCUCGGAAUCACUGGGCGUAAAGCGCACGUAGGCGGCUUUCUAAGUCAGGGGUGAAAUCCUGGAGCUCAACUCCAGAACUGCCUUUGAUACUGGGGAGCUCGAGUCCGGAAGAGGUGAGUGGAACUGCGAGUGUAGAGGUGAAAUUCGUAGAUAUUCGCAAGAACACCAGUGGCGAAGGCGGCUCACUGGCCCGAUACUGACGCUGAGGCACGAAAGCGUGGGGAGCAAACAGG